rnacentral:rRNA from 1 species
UGGGGAAUAUUGCACAAUGGGCGAAAGCCUGAUGCAGCAACGCCGCGUGAGGGACGACGGCCUUCGGGUUGUAAACCUCUUUUAGCAAGGAAGAAGCGAAAGUGACGGUACUUGCAGAAAAAGCGCCGGCUAACUACGUGCCAGCAGCCGCGGUAAUACGUAGGGCGCAAGCGUUAUCCGGAAUUAUCGGGCGUAAAGAGCUCGUAGGCGGUUUGUCGCGUCUGCUGUGAAAACCCGAGGCUCAACCUCGGGCCUGCAGUGGGUACGGGCAGACUAGAGUGCGGUAGGGGAGAUUGGAACUCCUGGUGUAGCGGUGGAAUGCGCAGAUAUCAGGAAGAACACCGAUGGCGAAGGCAGAUCUCUGGGCCGUAACUGACGCUGAGGAGCGAAAGGGUGGGGAGCAAACAGGCUUAGAUACCCUGGUAGUCCACCCCGUAAACGUUGGGAACUAGUUGUGGGGUCCAUUCCACGGAUUCCGUGACGCAGCUAACGCAUUAAGUUCCCCGCCUGGGGAGUACGGCCGCAAGG